rnacentral:rRNA from 1 species
AUACGGAGGAUGCGAGCGUUAUCCGGAUUUAUUGGGUUUAAAGGGUGCGUAGGCUGUGCGUUAAGUCAGGGGUGAAAUGCCGUCGCUCAACGACGGAGCUGCCCUUGAUACUGGCGUGCUGGAGUACGGAUGCCGUUGGAGGAAUGAGUGGUGUAGCGGUGAAAUGCUUAGAUAUCACUCAGAACACCGAUUGCGAAGGCAUCUGACGAAUCCGUCACUGACGCUGAGGCACGAAAGCGGGGGGAUAGAACAGGAUUAGAUACCCUGGUAUUCCACGCCGUAAACGAUGAUGACUAACCGUCGGCGAUAGACAGCCGGUGGCCAAGCGAAAGCGAUAAGUCAUCCACCUGGGGAGUACGUCGGCAACGAUGAAACUCAAAUGAAUUGGCGGGG